rnacentral:rRNA from 1 species
AGUGAACGCUGGCGGUAGGCCUAACACAUGCAAAUCGAACGGCAGCACAGGAGAGCUUGCUCUCUGGUUGGCGAGUGGCGGACGGGUGAGGAAUACAUCGGAAUCUACUCUGUCGUGGGGGAUAACGUAGGGAAACUUACGCUAAUACCGCAUACGACCUACGGGUGAAAGCAGAGGAUCUUCGGACCUUGCGCGAUUGAAUGACCCGAUGGCGGAGUAGCUAGUUGGCGGGGUAAAGGCCCACCAAGGCUACGAUCCGUAGCUGGUCUGAGAGGAUGAUCAGCCACACUGGAACUGAGACACGGUCCAGACUCCUACGGGAGGCAGCAGUGGGGAAUAUUGGACAAUGGGCGCAAGCCUGAUCCAGCCAUACCGCGUGGGUGAAGAAGGCCUUCGGGUUGUAAAGCCCUUUUGUUGGGAAAGAAAUCCAGCUGGUUAAUACCCGGUUGGGAUGACGGUACCCAAAGAAUAAGCACCGGCUAACUUCGUGCCAGCCGCCGCGGUAA